GUUAUAGGGUCAAGCGAACAAGUGCAUGUGGUGGAUGCCUUGGCGAUCACAGGCGAUGAAGGACGCGGUAGCCUGCGAAAAGCUACGGGGAGCUGGCAAACGAGCUUUGAUCCGUAGAUGUCCGAAUGGGGAAACCCACUCCUUUUGGAGUAUCCAUGGCUGAAUACAUAGGCCAUGUGAAGCGAACGCGGUGAACUGAAACAUCUAAGUAACCGCAGGAAAAGAAAUCAACCGAGAUUCCCAAAGUAGUGGCGAGCGAAAUGGGAUGAGCCUUGCACUCUUUAUUUGUAUUGUUAGCCGAACGCUCUGGAAAGUGCGGCCAUAGCAGGUGAUAGCCCUGUAGGCGAAAACAGUAUGAAAGAACUAGGUGUGCGACAAGUAGGGCGGGACACGUGAAAUCCUGUCUGAAGAUGGGG
rnacentral:rRNA from 1 species